UUUAAAUUUACAUUUUUUUAACACUCUGCAGGGGGAUAUUAAUUUACAAGUUAAAACCUAUGGUAAAUGACGGUGCCUCAAUUUCUCUACAACUCACAAAUCUGCUGCAAUAGCUAACAGAAGGCAAGAACCUUCAACUGAACCUCUUUCAGUGCUGGGGAAGACGAGGCAGCAGUGUCAGCUUGGGGAGGAAGAUCUUCAGCUGAGCACGUAUCAACAUAUAUCAGCAGCCAAUACUGCAAGGAAUGGAGGGAGUACUACAAGAACAAGCUAAGUCAGAGAGAAUCCCUCAAAGACCCACAGAAAAUCGCACACAUUGUAGGAAGGGACUGACAUGGGGAUUCCAACCAAGACAAACUAACAAAAGUCAUGUGAAAGAACACUUGCAGGUAUGAGAAAAUUGUUUUUAGUUGUUAAAACCUCAUAAAGCCACAUAAAUUUUUGCCACUUCAAAAUCUGACAGUAAUUCCAACAUGUAGGCUAGGCAUAACCAUGUAAUGCACAGAUAGCACAAACAAGACUAAUAACGGGUCAUUGACAAGUAGGCCCUACCAUACGAAGCAAUUAUACUGCUCUAAAACAGAAAUCUCGCUGUGCAUCCGAGCAAGUUGGCUAUUCUUGGAUUAAGAGAAAGCUAGGAGUAGUGAGAGUUGAAACAGUCAAUUUUGCAUGUGAUCCAGUGUGAUGUUUUUUAUUGAAGACAAAAAGGCACACAAACGAUUCAUUGGAGACAAGCAUGGUUCAUGUUCACCAUGGCAACCAAUGUAAUAGAUAAACUAUCGUACAAAUUUCGGCGCAAUUCCACAACAACUAAAAAGACGCCUAAGCCAAUUUGUACCCACAAACAUUGUCAGUAAUCCUUCUGAUACUGGAAUGCAAGCUGUUCAGAUUGGUUUUGACAGUCCCAA